rnacentral:rRNA from 1 species
CCUGGCCGUAAACGAUGAACACUAGGUGUCGGGGGAAUCGACCCCCUCGGUGUCGUAGCCAACGCGUUAAGUGUUCCGCCUGGGGAGUACGCACGCAAGUGUGAAACUCAAAGGAAUUGACGGGGGCCCGCACAAGCGGUGGAGUAUGUGGUUUAAUUCGAUGCAACGCGAAGAACCUUACCAGGGCUUGACAUCCUGCGAACCUCUGGGAAACCGGAGGGUGCCUUCGGGAGCGCAGAGACAGGUGGUGCAUGGCUGUCGUCAGCUCGUGUCGUGAGAUGUUGGGUUAAGUCCCGCAACGAGCGCAACCCACGUCUUUAGUUGCCAGCAUUUAGUUGGGCACUCUAGAGAGACCGCCGGUGACAAACCGGAGGAAGGUGUGGAUGACGUCAAGUCAUCAUGCCCCUUACGUCCUGGGCUACACACGUACUACAAUGCUACGGACAAAGGGCAGCAAACUCGCGAGAGCUAGCAAAUCCCAUAAACCGUGGCUCAGUUCAGAUCGUAGGCUGCAACUCGCCUACGUGAAGGAGGAAUCGCUAGUAAUCGCAGGUCAGCAUACUGCGGUGAAUACGUUCCCGGGCCUUGUACACACCGCCCGUCACACCAUGGAAGUUGGCCAUGCCCGAAGUCGUUACUUCAACCCGCAAGGGAGGAGGAUGCCGAAG